CUUGUUUCUGUUUUAUCCAGUAAAAUGUGUUGUUCUUCUGUAUCCUCUGUGUUAGUACCACACAAUCUUGUAAUUUCUGACUUCAAACAACCAUGAAUUCUUCUAGUCAAACAGUAUUGAUCUAUUGCAGGCGUGUCAAACUCACAUCGUCAUGGCGGUGUCACAUGAUGUAUUAGGAUUCCCCCCCCUUGCUAAACCAGGCAUGGGUAUGGCCAGUGCGUGAUGUAUCGGGCCAGGAAUUUGACAGCCUUGAUUUAUUGUAUUAAUGGCCUGCUGUUUCUUUGAUUGUAAUUGUUAGUUCUUUCUGGUUCCCUGUACUCAACUUUCAAGUCAUCUCUUACCAAUUGUUCAUUUUCCAGUCAACAAAACUUUUCCAGGCAACAAUUUCUGAUAAUUAAUUUCAAAAUCUUCAUAUAUUCCUUUAUAAAAAUGUGAACACCUCACAAGAAAUACACUUUCAAACCAAUCUAUCCCUUUAACUUUUCAAAAUCAACAUUCUGGCUCCCUUUUGCUGUUUUCCAAAAGUUAAUCCCCCCCUCCCUUUUAAUCCCUAAACUUACAUAGAACUUCUUUCUUCCAAGGUAGGAGAGACUCCUUUUCUAAUGAAACGUGUCUUUCACUUGCCCUUCAGAAGGUUCUUCACAAGGAAAUAAUAAGCAGCUUCCUAAAGUAGUUAAGAGCUGCUGAACCAUGCCUUAGGCAAGAUGGUCAACUCCCAGAGCUAUCAAACCUGCUGGAAAUAUUUAUUUUAUCUUCUCUUUGCAGGGACAUUUUGUAUGGAGCAAGCUGGUAGUUGAUCCCUAUUCUCUCCUUGAUCUAGAGCAGGGAGAGUAAUUCCAAUGAGCCAAUCCAUUCACUGAUUCCUCCUUUCACUGCAGUUGUCGGCUCUGCAUUGAUUUCUCCAGAAGUUGCCAUGUUACAAGUUUCCAAAUGAAAGUUAGGGGACAACUUUACAUUUAAAUGAAGAAAAUUCCAGUUUGGAUUUGGAAUUUAAGAAAUGGUGUAGAAUAAAAAGACUCAGUUGAAUAAAUCUAGUGUGUAUGUGGGGAAAUAGAAGAUGAAAGAGGAUGGUAGACUCCUCCCCCAAUAAAAGAAAAAAAUGCAUUAUAGCCAUUUCUACAUUUGUGCAGAUAAGUUAAAGUCAACAUCUUUGCUUUUGAUGCCCUUGAAAUUAGAUUAGUGCUCAUAUUUUUAUAAACAGAUAUUAAACUGGUUAGUGAAUUAAUAUAGAAAAAGCUUUAAUACGGAAUGGGUUACUUCUCAUAAUCUAAAUUUUAAUCAGAUUAUUACAAUUGAUGUACUUGAUAUUAGGCACUUAGCUUAAUCUUUGUCUGAUUCAUUUGCUUAGGAGUGUGAACAGUAAAGAAGAUAAGGAUCAGGGAUGUUCUUAAUUUGGUUCUUUUGAAAUAAUGAUUAAACAUAAUAAUGUAAAUAGGCAAUUAGAAUUCAAAAAAUAUUUAUAGAUUACCUUUUAAAUGCAAAUAUGUGUGCCUCUUAGGGGAUUGAUUGAACUGUCUUAUUUUUUUAAAAAAAUUGACAUCACUAAUCUUAUGAUUUAGUACUCCACAAACACUACUGGCACAUCUUUGUGGACUACUUCUAUAAAUAUGUAUUCUUGUGGUUUGAAUGUUGGACAUAAUAGUUGACUGCAAAAGCCUAGACACCCCAGUUAAGAUAUAUGUUUGUAACAUGCAUAAGUUAUGUCAGCCUUUCCUUUUUAGGGAUUCUUUAAAGCAUACAAUUUGACCAGGAAUGGUCCAGCCUUUUCAUAUGCUAUUCUAAUAUGCUAACUACUCAUAUUUUUGCACUAUAAGAUGCUCCAGACCAUAAGACGCAUCUAGCUUUUGGGGAGGAAAACAAGAAAACAAAAAAAAUCUGCCUCUGUCUCCCAGCCCCCAGCACGUGGCUCAUCAGGAUUCUGCUCUGUUACACCCACCACCGAUCAGCUGAGUGACAACUGGAUCCCGGCCUCCCGUAGCCCUACCAAUCAGUGGGCUGGCCAGCCAAAAACAGUGUUGGUGCCUCCUUUGUGCCACCGCCGAACGGUAGCAGCAGCAAUGGGCGAUGACGGCAAUCCCUGCCGCCUGGAACAGCUGAUUGGCGGUAUUCCGGGAGGCCAAUCCAACUGCCAAUAGGUGGCGGCUAUAGGCAAUAUUCACUCCAUAAGACGCACAGGCAUUUCCACCCAAUUUUUUUUUGGGGGGGGAGUGCAUCUUAUAGUGCAAAAAUAUGGUAAUUUGUUAGUUUAUUCUGGAGGAGACCGAAUGAAGUAGGCUGUUCUUGAAUGAUGAACUUUAUGCAGAAUGUACAUUUUUGUCUUAAUUUUCUUGAAGUAAGUAAAGUAGGUUUCUAUUUCUCUAAGCUAUCAUGUGCUUGGUUUGGUUUUGGCUUAAUAUGAUAACUUAACCACUGGAUUUUAGAUUUUGAGGUUUGUAAAAGAAAGUAAUACACUCUCAUCUCAAAAAAUGAGAAUAUAUGUCUAAUAUAUAUUGUCUAAAACCAUGUGUAUAAAUAACAUAUGGUGCAUGAAACUUCUGGCUCACAAUAUCUGUCAAAUA